rnacentral:lncRNA from 1 species
GGUAGCACCCGAAUCAAUGAUCCAUUUGGACAUGGCAGCCAUAGACGUGCCUUCACUUGCCAUGAAUGCAUAAUCAUCUCCACCAACUUCAUCACAUGCAUUGGUAGCAUUUUUUCUAUCUCCUUUCUUGGCCCGUGUAGCAAUUUCGUGCAAAAUGACCCGGUUUUCCACAAAUGAAGCAAGUUCUUGCAUUUCUUUUCACAUUGUCACGUUGG